rnacentral:antisense_RNA from 1 species
ACAUUCACCACCCCAUGACGCGGCGCCGGGUCGCCGCCGCAGAUUCGACACAAAACCCGGAAGGACCCCGCCGAAGGUUUUCUCCGGUUCGUGAGAGGGACGGAGUCCCGCUCUGUCACGCAGGCUGCCAGGCUGGCGUACAGUGGCGCAAUCUCAGCUCACUGCAACCUCCACCUCCUGGGUUCAAGCGAUUUUCUUGCCUCUGCCUCCUGAGUAGCUGGGAUUACUGGCACACACCACCAAUGCACAGUUCCUUGUUCAAAAUGCCAAGAACCUGGAUGACUCAUAGUCAAGACCCUCCACCAGUAACAUAUAUUGGCGAGCCAGCCAGGAGCUUGGAACCCUCGGUGGACAGUGCCUAAGCACAGAGGCAAACACAGGUUUCUAACAGGGCCACUCUCCGGUGAAACUGAAAGGUUUCUGUGUGAAAGUGCCUGACCACCACUGCCCAGUUCAGACCACUACAGGAAACACUCCAUUUAUUCAACCUGACUUCCCACUUGGCUGCAUCCUCAACCAUUGAAAUGAAUUUGACCCUGAUAAUCUAAGGAGGAAACAUUUGAUAUUCUUUUGCAAUAAUACUUGGCCCCGGUAUUGUUUGGAAUCUGGAGUUUGCUGUUGAAUGGGAAAGCGGGAUGAUGUUGC